GGGGAGUAGGCGGUGGACGUGGUGGACGUGGUGGAGGCGGCGGAGGUGGCGGAGGUAGUGGAUGGGGAGCAGGCGGUGGAUUUGGAGGCAGUGAUGGUAGAGACGGCGAGUGGGUAGUAUGCGUUGGAGGCAGUGAUGGAAAAGGUGGCAAUUAUAGGCGAUGCACUCAUGGCAAGCAUGGCAAAGGGGCGAUUAUUACGGAGACAAAGGGUGGGAAUAUGCAAUGGGUUCAGGUACAGUGAUAGCGGAGGCGGCGGAUGGGGUGUAGGCGGUGGAUAUGGCUAUGACGGUGGCUUUGACGAUAUAAAAACUAUUCUUAACCCGGCAAUAGUCGCGCUCUCUUUUGUCACGUAAGCAGUCGCGCGUUAGAUUAAAUCUAAAAAUACGAAUUUAAAUUUUUAUUUUAUAAUAUUUUUAUUUAUAGUUUUAAUAUUUUAAAAAUAUUAUUUCUAACAAUUUUAAAGCUAAUUGGUUUUACGAAAACCUUAAAUUACACAAAAAAAAAAUAAAAAAUAACAAAAAAAAAUUUAAAAAAAGAUACCUACGCAUUACUUCAAUCUUCCUCGAGGUACUAACGAGUGGAAAGCUAUGAUUUUUCAUCAAGUCAUCACGGAAAAGGAUAAAAUGUUAGAUUUUUCCUAACGGCGCGACUGCACCUGUGCUAGUAAAAUAUCCAUGCCUAAUUCUACAUAUGGACUCUAUAAAAUUGUAUAUUUUAUGUAUUUUAUUAUAUAUUGUAAAAUGAUUUUUAAUUA
rnacentral:lncRNA from 1 species